GAUGAAUGCUGGCGGCGUGCUUAAUACAUGCAAGUCGAGCGAACGGACGAGAAGCUUGCUUCGCGGAUGUUAGCGGCGGACGGGUGUGUAACACGUGGAAAACCUACUUAUAAGACUGGUAUAUCUUCGGGAAACCGGCGCUAACACCGGAUAAUAUUUUGAACCGCAUGGUUCAAAAGUGAAAGACGGUCUUGCUGUCACUUAUAGAUGGUUCCGCGCUGCAUUAGCUAGUUGGUAAGGUAACGGCUUACCAAGGCAACGAUGCAUAGCCGACCUGAGAGGGUGAUCGGCCACACUGGAGCUGAGACACGGUCCAGACUCCUACGGGAGGCAGCAGUAGGGAAUCUUCCGCAAUGGGCGAAAGCAUGACGGAGCAACGCCGCGUGAGUGAUGAAGGUCUUCGGAUCGUAAAAAUCUGUUAUUAGGGAAGAACAUAUGUGUAAGUAACUGUGCACAUCUUGACGGUACCUAAUCAGAAAGCCACGGCUAACUACGUG
rnacentral:rRNA from 1 species